AUAUGCUGUCAGCUCAUUACAAAAAUACAUAAGCUCUCACAUUCAAUUACUCACUUAGCAACGAAAGAUUAGUUUGCGGGAGCUGCCAACACCGUUGCCUUCGCGGGGUCAAGAGAGUGAGACUGUAAUCAUAGCAGUUUGAGAACCGCUAGUGUAUCGCUUUCUCUUUCACUCCCUCUCGAUUCCUCCUGCAGCCCGCUCUCCUGACCCUACCGCUCGAGUCAACCCAUAACGCUGAUAAAUAUUUACUCUAGAGCAGUUCUUUUUUUCCCUUGGGUCUUAAGUGAAUUUCAUAGUUCAUAAAACAUCACACGGGUUCUUUAAUGAGAACUUCCCGCUUCUGCUACAGGGCCCUCGCGAGUCUCGGAUUGUGUGUGUUAAAUUCAAGGCAGAGAAGUGUAAAGCCAUCCGCACUGAAUCCCACCCAGCGACUCACUUUGACUCGUAGUAGUCAAAUACGGCGAAAUUUCGCGGGAAAAAUCCAGUCUUUCCGCGUUGCUUGUUCAGUCUGAGGAUGGAGAAGUCCACCACGGUCAUAUUCACGUUGGUCACUCGCAAUUUUUUGGUUCUAAAGUCACGACCGUCUCUGGGAAAAGCACACGGGGCUCGAAAAGUUAGCAAACGCUCGCAGAGCAGUUCAUUUGUCACGGAGGCCAUUUUAUAAGUUUCUCAAAAUGCACCACAGAGGAUGGCCAACACCCGUUUCUAUCUUUAGAUGGGGGAAUCCACCCAAAGCUGUCACUCAUGUGGUAAAAUCUCUAAGAAAAAAGGUGCACCUUUCGUGCCAGCUGCUCUCGUGUGCCAACAUCAGGGUAUUUGGUUUCUUGGAAAAGGUUCUCCAGUGCCUCCAGUUGCUCGUCGGUGAAAAUGGUUCGGU